GAUGAAAACGCAGCGAAAUGCGAUAAGUAAUGUGAAUUGCAGAAUUCCGUGAAUCAUCGAAUCUUUGAACGCACAUUGCGCCCCCUGGCAUUCCGGGGGGCAUGCCUGUCCGAGCGUCAUUUCUGCCCUCAAGCACGGCUUGUGUGUUGGGUGUGGUCCCCCCGGGGACCUGCCCGAAAGGCAGCGGCGACGUCCGUCUGGUCCUCGAGCGUAUGGGGCUCUGUCACUCGCUCGGGAAGGACCUGCGGGGGUUGGUCACCACUAUAUUUUACCACGGUUGACCUCGGAUCAGGUAGGAGUUACCCGCUGAACUUAAGCAUAUCAAUAAGCGGAGGA
rnacentral:misc_RNA from 1 species